UGUGUCCAGGACUAUUUCAAUAGCA
rnacentral:piRNA from 1 species